CGAUCAGUUGAUUAAUUUAAGAAAAUGAAAAGCUAUCCUUUGGAUAAGCUUUAUUUAAGUCGAUAUAAUCGAUAUAUAUCCUCUAUUUGCCAUUAGCUUUUUUGACCAUCACGACGUUCGUGAGCCAAUCAGAGUAAGUUGCCUUGCGAAUGAAGUUGACUGCCAGCAAUUUAUCGACUUCUUCAUCGAUUGCCUUUUGUCGCUUGGGAGCAAAAUUUUUUUUCUUUUGUCUCACUGGCUUGUGCUUAACGUUGAUAUUUAAUUGGUGGACAAUCACAUCAAAGGGGAUACCCGACAUGUCGGAUGC
rnacentral:lncRNA from 1 species